rnacentral:pre_miRNA from 1 species
AUGCAAAGAAAUCUGUAUUUAAGUAAGGAUAACUUAUGCUAAAAGAAAUGAAUCCUAGACACUGCCCCCUUCAAGUCAAACAUCUUGU